GCGCCGAGUCAGACCCGGGGAUCCCGUGCGUGGGAGGUGCGCAGGCGGCGGCCGGGCUAGGGGUGUUUCACCAGUAAAACUGCCAGCUUUCUGCAGAUACUUCAGCAAAGGGUGGGGGUGCGGGGCGCGCCUGAAGCCCGAGUGUUAUUUUUGCAGUCCGUGAAAACGUUCUCGCGUACCACAGAUUGAGGAUAGAUACCUGUUUGGCGGAUAGAGCCAUAGCACACCACAGCAACUACCCCGAGAGGGCCCAGGCUCUUCUCAAUAGACACAAACUCUGCUCGCCACAUCUGUUCUCGGGAGGGCCAAGAUGCGUUGAGGAGUAAGCAGUGGGAUGUGUGGUGCCCAAUGAUAGGAGGAGAGAUUUAGGGCGUCGAAGAAAGUAUCCAGCAAAGGCUCUUCCCUUCCUAUUCCUGUAGAGAUUUCUGCUGUGAUAGGUGUUUACUUUGUGAUCAAAGUGGAAAUGGCUUAAGUUACCCUUCAAGAAAUGCUUACCUUUUAAUAGAUUCUUGAAGUUCUCAAGGAAAGAGGAUGUUAAAAGAUAGAACGUUGGCAGGGACGUGGGAACUGCAAGAGGGCCAGCCCAUCGCCCGCCAAAUCACACCUAUUAUUGCCAACCGCACCUACCUGUAAGACUCAGUGCGCCUGUCAAUGGGUAUAUCUCAGACUUUACACUGCAUGACUCAAUCAGCCUACACCAGGACAAGUGCACUGUCAGCGCCUUCAAUAAACCAAGUUCUAGAAGAGUCUGAGGAUUUGGACAACACUAAUCAACCAAGCCAGAAGCACCCUUGCAGGACUCUACAUACACUCUUGACAUAUAUGACACGGAGAUGGAUCUGAAUAAGAAAAGGUUAGAGGAAGAGAGCUACUCCACCAUGACUCCACAGAAUUUUGCUAAGUCAUUCUAGCUACUCACCAACAUUUGUUUGCAAAGGUGAGAUCUGGCCACCUUGCCCCUAGAAGCAUAAGGCACAUACAUGGAGUUGGGAUAUGAGAGUCUAGCUUGUUUUUCAGAACAUUUCUAUGCCUCCAAAAGCCUGGAAUAGGAACCAAGAAAAACGCUUCUCCUUAAUGUGCUUGGAAAGGUAUGAUACCAGCUCUGCUCUGGAUAAGAAGGGGGAGAAUUGAGCCGGAAUUAAAAUGUUAUAACAUUAAAUUAAAAGUAAUUAAAAUGUUUAUAACAUUAAAAUGUUAUAGUCACAAUCACAUUACCAAGUGCAGUAUCAUCUAGGAUAAAUCUGUUUUUGAAUGAAAACUCCCCUCAAAGGCAGCUGUUUCAAUUUAAUGCCAGUUUUUCUCACUCUGUCACAUGUAGUUUUCUGGUGAUAGAAGAGAUAUGAAAAUAGAAGAUUGAAAGAACAAUGUGAAAUUAAAUAUAAAAGCAUGACAUUUAAUUGUCAGCGAUGUUAAGUACAUAUCUAAAACUAAAUCAUGUGUAUCUGUCUUCAAUAACUUAAAUUCCCAAAGCAUGUCUGAAAAUGCCUUGCGUGGAGUUGAAUGUUGAAUUUAGUAUGUGGUGAGUAAAAUCGAGGGAGAGCUCAGGCCUGAGCUGUAACCUCCUCAGUAAUAUUAAACAACUACUAGGAAAUAAUUUACUUUUCUCCCUUAUUGUCUGCUAAUUGAAUGUUUGUGUUCCCCCAGAAUUCAUAUGUUGAAACCUAAUCCCCCAUAUGAUGGCAUUUGAAGGUGGGGGUCUUUGAGACGUGAUUACAUCAUAAGGAUGGACCCUUCAUGAGCUUAAUGCCCUUAUAAAAGAGACCCCGGAAAGCUCCCUUGCCCCUUCCACCGUGAGAGGACACAGUGAAAAGGCCACCGUCUAUGAACCAGGAAGUGGGCUCUCAUCAGACACUGAACCUGCUGGGGCCUUGAUCUUGGACUCCAGAUCUGUGAUAAAUAAAUUUAUGUUGUUUAUAAGCCACCCAGGCUAUGGUAUUUUG